UCAAGCUAGAAAGAGCGCAAGGGGAAUGCCUUGGCAUCAGGAGCCGACGAAGGACGUGACAAGCUGCGAUAAGCUGCGGUGAGCUGCACAUAAGCUUUGACCCGCAGAUUUCCGAAUGGGGAAACCCGGCAGAGCAAUACUCUGUCAGCGUGCGUUGAAUCAAAUAGGCGUACGCGGGGAACCGCCUGAACUGAAACAUCUAAGUAGGGCGAGGAAGAGAAAUCAACCGAGAUUCCGCUAGUAGUGGCGAGCGAACGCGGAAGAGGGCAAACCGGAGGAUUUAUCCUCCGGGGUUGUGGACAGUUUUUUAGCAACUGGAACUAGGAGAACGGUAUGGGAAGGCCGGCCAUAGCGGGUGAUAGCCCCGUAUCCGAAAGGGAAGGUUGUGCGACUGGAUCCAGAGUACCGCCGGACACGUGAAACCCGGUGGGAAGCUGGGGGGACCACCCUCCAACCCUAAAUACUACCUGAUGACCGAUAGAGGAGCAGUACCGUGAGGGAAAGGUGAAAAGGACCCCGGGAGGGGAGUGAAAGAGAACCUGAAACCUUGUGCUUACAAGCACUCAAAGCCCGUUAAAGGGUGAUGAGGUACCUUUUGUAGAAUGGUCCGGCGAGUUAUUGUUACUGGCAAGCUUAAGGCAUUCAGUGCCGGAGGCGCAGGGAGACCGAGUCUGAAUAGGGCGUAUGAAGUCAGUGGCAAUAGACCCGAAACCGGGUGACCUAUCCAUGGGCAGGUUGAAGUGGGGGUAAAACCCCAUGGAGGACCGAACGCACGCCCGUUGCAAUGGUCGGCGAUGACCUGUGGAUAGCGGUGAAAUUCCAAUCGAACUCGGAGAUAGCUGGUUCUCCCCGAAAUAGCUUUAGGGCUAGCGUUGGCUUAGAUUACCGGAGGUAAAGCACUGAAUGGGCUAGGGGCCGAUAAGGUUACUGAACCCUAUCAAACUCUGAAUGCCGGAUAAUUGAUGGCCAGCAGUCAGUCUACGUGAGAUAAGUCUCGUGGACAAAAGGGAAACAGCCCAGACCCACAGCUAAGGUCCCAAAGAUACGCUAAGUGGAAAACGAUGUGGAGUUGCGAAAACAACCAGGAUGUUGGCUUAGAAGCAGCCACUCAUUAAAAGAGUGCGUAAUAGCUCACUGGUCGAGUGACUCUGCGCGGAAAAUAUAACGGGGCUAAGCGUAACACCGAAGCUUGGGCUGCACAGCAAUGUGCGGGGUAGGGGAGCGUCGAAUAUGGGGUGAAGUCGCAGCGGAAGCAGCGGUGGACUGUAUUCGAGUGAGAAUGCCGGAAUGAGUAGCGAGAAUUAUGUGGGAAUCAUAAUGGCCGAAAAUCUAAGGUUUCCUGGGGAAGGUUCGUCCGCCCAGGGUAAGCCGGGAGCUAAGGCGAGGCCGGAAGGCGUAGUCGAUGCACAUACGGUUGAAAUUCCGUAGCCACCGAACCUUAAGUACACUGACACAUGGAGAUAGCGGGACCCGGGCGUUGGUUGACCCGGGCGUAAGGGACCGAACUUUAGUAGGGAAGUCCGCGAUGCUCUGUGGCGAGAAAAGGUGUAUGGUAUGCUAAGGUGCCCGUACCGCAAACCGACACAGGUAGAUGAGGAGAGAAUCCUAAGGCCAACGGGAGAAGGGUUGUUAAGGAACUCGGCAAAAUGACCCCGUAACUUCGGGAUAAGGGGAGCCUCCUACGGGAGGCCGCAGCGAAUAGGCCCAAGCGACUGUUUACCAAAAACACAGGUCUCUGCUAAAUCGAAAGAUGACGUAUAGGGGCUGACGCCUGCCCGGUGCUGGAAGGUUAAGAGGAGAUGUUAGCCGCAAGGCGAAGCAUUGAAUCGAAGCCCCAGUAAACGGCGGCCGUAACUAUAACGGUCCUAAGGUAGCGAAAUUCCUUGUCAGGUAAGUUCUGACCCGCACGAA
rnacentral:rRNA from 1 species